CACACCAAGUUUUUGCUUUGAUAUUUUGGAUUUUGCAGAUGAAGUUGCCAAGUAGUUUACCACGCGUCUCUCAGUGCUAAUGCAGGCUUUUCCUGGAGGCCUUCAUGCAAAAUUGAUGAAUGUGUAAAUAUGAUUAUUGUAUUUCAUCAAAUAAUGAGUACUGUUUAUUUUCUCUGUGUAGUUGCUGUUUAUUUUCUCUAUCAUUCAUUAUUCAGGUCUCAGCUAUGAAGAACAGACACGGACACCGACACAUUGACACCAAUAAUUUCAUUUGAGAAAAUGACAUAAUUCAAUGUAAUCAUAAUUGUCGGUGUCGGACACUGACGCAUGUGCGACAGCGGGACAAACCUAAUCCCGAGGAGUGGGUCUUAGGCUGGCUAUCUAAUACUUGAUUUAUUAGCUACAAUUUUUAAGCUCUUGUUUUAGUUUUUAUUGUUUUUCAAAAUGAAUCUGGAUUACAAUUUUUUUCAUGUUCUCUGUAACAUUCUGUAUCUAAACGUUGUGCCCAGAAUCUUCUGAUGUCGUUCCAGUUUAUUUUACUGCUAUUUCUUUUGUUGGGUGAGUAACUACAUCUAAUUAUUGCAGGGGCAUUGUAGGAAACUUACCCCAAUUGUUGUAUAAACAUGAUCCUCCUUUUUGAGAAAUUAAUAUGCAAAGGAAUUUUAUAUCAAACAAAUGGAAUUCAACUGUUCCAUUUUACAUAGAUGUAUAUACUUUCAGAUGUUUUAAAACUCAAGAAAAGUAAACAUCCAGAUCAGGACACCUGGAGAAUUAUGUGCUGGUAUGCAGUGGCGGAACUAGGGAGUGGCCGGGUGGGCCAGUUGCGGAACUAGGUGAUUGAUUGUUCAUUGUUCUGGUUUUGUUCUUCCCCUUUAUGUAUUUGGUUCUUUUUUUUUUGUGUAUUAUGUUCUUCUCCUUUGUGUAUUUUGUUUUUCCUCUUAUUAUCUUGUGUUGUUUGAUUUGGUAAGUGGAUUUCUAUAUAAAAAUAGUGCUGCAAUAGGGACUUUUGUUUGCAAUUACAAGUUUUAAUUUGAUGACAUCAUGUUGCAAUUAUAUAUUUUAGUUUUCUUUAGUGGCCCACCCGAAUUUUUUUCUCUAGUUCCGCCACCACUGGUAUGGAUGAUAUGUGAUCGGAUGUGAUGCCAGACAGCAGACAAGUCAUUUGUAAUGUACUAAUAGUCAAAUAUCAUG